AACGAACGCUGGCGGCAGGCCUAACACAUGCAAGUCGAGCGCCCUUUCGGGGGAGCGGCGGGCGGGUGAGUAACGCGUGGGAAUAUGCCCUUCUCUACGGAAUAGCCUCGGGAAACUGAGAGUAAUACCGUAUACGCCCUAUGGGGGAAAGAUUUAUCGGGGAAGGAUUAGCCCGCGUUGGAUUAGGUAGUUGGUGGGGUAAUGGCCUACCAAGCCGACGAUCCAUAGCUGGUUUGAGAGGAGGAUCAGCCACACUGGGACUGAGACACGGCCCAGACUCCGACGGGAGGCAGCAGUGGGGAAUCUUAGACAAUGGGGGCAACCCUGAUCGAGCCAUGCCGCGUGAGUGAUGAAGGCCUUAGGGUUGUAAAGCUCUUUCAGCUGGGAAGAUAAUGACGGUACCAGCAGAAGAAGCCCCGGCUAACUCCGUG
rnacentral:rRNA from 1 species